AACCCGCCUGCAUGAAGUCGGAAUCGCUAGUAAUCGCGAGUCAGCAUAUCGCGGUGAAUACGUUCCCGGGUCUUGUACACACCGCCCGUCACACCAUGGGAGUUGGCAACACCCGAAGUCGAUGAGCUAACCUUUUAGGAGGCAGUCGCCUAAGGUGGGGUUGAUAACUGGGGUGAAGUCGUAACAAGGUACC
rnacentral:rRNA from 1 species